rnacentral:rRNA from 1 species
CCUAGGGCUGCACCAGUGGGGAAUCUUAGACAAUGGGCGCAAGCCUGAUCUAGCCAUGCCGCGUGAGUGAUGAAGGCCUUAGGGUUGUAAAGCUCUUUCAGCUGGGAAGAUAAUGACGGUACCAGCAGAAGAAGCCCCGGCUAACUCCGUGCCAGCAGCCGCGGUAAUACGGAGGGGGCUAGCGUUGUUCGGAAUUACUGGGCGGAAAGCGCACGUAGGCGGAUUGAAAAGUCAGAGGUGAAAUCCCAGGGCUCAACCUUGGAACUGCCUUUGAAACUAUCGGUCUGGAGUUCGAGAGAGGUGAGUGGAAUUCCGAGUGUGGAGGUGAAAUUCGUAGAUAUUCGGAGGAACACCAGUGGCGAAGGCGGCUCACUGGCUCGAUACUGACGCUGAGGUGCGAAAGCGUGGGGAGCAAACAGGAUUAGAUACCCGCGUAGUC